ensembl:lncRNA
UCCGGGAGGCAUUCCUAGCCUGGGAAAAAAAAAGCGGGGCUGGGAGCUCUCUGUACAAACAACACGCCGGAGAGUGAUCAGCCAUGUCAUAAGACAACACUGAAAUCAGACUGAAUCUGUCAUCGGUUCAUAAAUUCAAUCUUUGUCAUUUUUUUCCCCCAGGACUGACCGACACGUAUAUCCACGAAGCCGUGCAUGAACUGGAAAACACUGACGUUUAGCCGAAUAGCUCAUUCAAGACAAAAGCUCCAGCAGGACAGAUAGUAUGCUGAGUAAAGCGGCCACUAUGGAGAUCCCUAUCAACCGUAACGGAGACACGAGGACGCUGGCGGAGGAUGACAGCCUUGAACAAGUUGCUAAGCUACAGUGGAGCUUAGAUGAGAAGUUUUCAUUGUGCCCCUACAUUUCUUUGUGUGCCCCUACAUUUCUUUGUGUGCUCCUACAUUUCUUUGUGUGCUCCUACAU